rnacentral:rRNA from 1 species
GACAGAGGUGCCAAGCGUUAGGCGGAAUCACUGGGCUUAAAGCGUGUGUAGGCGGACUUGUAAGUACCUUGUGAAAUCCCACGGCUCAACCGUGGAACUGCUUGGUAUACUGCUUGUCUUGAGCCACUUAGGGGCUACCGGAACAAAUGGUGGAGCGGUGAAAUGCGUAGAUAUCAUUUGGAACGCCAAUGGUGAAAACAGGUAGCUGGGAGUGUGCUGACGCUGAGGAACGAAAGCGUGGGGAGCGAACAGG